UUAAAUUUGACCAUUGCGAAGCAGAGGGCCGAUAACAAAAUUAAAACCUGGAUUUGACCAUUGCCUUGUAGAGGGCCAAAAUCGCAGAAGAAAAACAUAAAUUUGACCAUUGCGAAGUAGAGGGCCGAUAACAAAAGGAAAAACUUGAGCUUAAGGUGCCAGGCGAACUGGGCUUUGGGUGCCAGACAAAACUGGGCUUUUGUGGGCCAGGUGAAAGCUUAUGGGCCAGGUGAAACUGGGCUUAGGGGCCAGUGUGAAAACUGAGCUUAUGGGCUAGGUGAAACUGGGCUUAGGGGCCAGGUGAAACUGGGCUUAUGGGCCAGAUGAAACUGGGCUUAGGGGCCAGGCGAGCUGGGCUUAUAUGCCAGGUGAAACCGGGCUUAGGGGCUAGUGUGAAAACUGGGCUUAUGGGCUAGGUGAAACUGGGCUUAGGGGCCAGUGUAGAAAUGGGGCUUUGGGGCCAGCGUGAAACUGGGCUUAAGGGCCAGGUGAAACUGGGCUUAUGGGCCAGGCGAAACUGGGCUUAGUGGGCC
rnacentral:lncRNA from 1 species